GGGCGUACUGCGCAUGCCCCUAGAGGUAACACACUCCCCGGCCCGUCGGGCGUAGAGCCAAUCGACCAGUAGAGACCGGCUAGGGCAUUUUGCACCUUCUAAAUACAGCGCCAGUUGGCGACCGCAUGGUUACGUCAUCGCUCGGAAACCCUGGCAGGAAACCCAACUGCGCUGGCCCACUGUUGCCACAGGUUUGGGAGAUGGGCGAGGCGGUGACGGUGACGGAGCGAGGAAUCGCAGAGGAGAAGGGGAGCCCUGCCUGAUUUUCGGCAGUACCCUCAGUCGCCCAGGCUGGCCCUGCUCCGUCUUUCCUGCGGUACUCAGAGAGACCUGGUAGGUGAGGACCUGGACCCGAUGUCGGAACCAGUAAGGCUGGGGCCCCAACCCAGUCAGGGCCAUUCAAAAGGCUGGAAGGGAGACCUGAUCACUCCCCGGGGACCUCAGUGGUCUCACAGGUAUCACCCCAUGGGUCCAUCACUCCAGAGUUAAGAAGGCCAACUCAGAGGAACCCUCAACCUGGUACAGUGAUCCAGAUCCAAUCAACCUGCUUAAACUGACCCUCAAAAAAACACUGUCCCCUGAGGUCUCCAGCCCUGCUCCAGCCACACCCCGGAAGCUGGCUGGCCUGCGCACGGCAGAAGCUUGAGGAAUCAACGUGUGGACCGAGCCUAGGGGUUUGGAUGCAACUCUCCCAGCCCUUACCCCUUACUGGUAUCAUAGCCCUGAUCUUGCUUCUUGCUGUUGGGCUAAUAGAGACUGCAUCAGCAAACUGGACAAAAGAUGAAUGUUGGGUCUCACAUACCUCCUCUGAAUGGGAGGACUAUUAAGUAUUGCCUGUAUAUUAUGUUAACCUCUCUCACCCUCACGACUGCCACAUACCCACCUUGCCCCCAGGAUUGUUAUAAGACAAUAAGGACAGUAGCCCAUGGUAUCAGGAAUGCAAGGGUAUUCAGCUCCCUCACCUCCCUCCACAAAGAUUGUUAUAAGGGAAAGACACCCACCCUCUGCCAGUCGCCAGAUGCCCAAGCACGUAAGUUUUGGACCGUAGAAAUAACCCAAAAUAGCAGAAGCCCAUGUAACAAACAGAGUCUCCAGAAAGGAAAGCGAGUCUGCUAUACAUAUCUUCCCCAACUAGGGACAUCGGACGGGGGAGGAGUGCAAGAUAGGGCCCUUCAAAAGGUCAUAAAGAAUACCUGGACCAGGCUAAUACAAGCUGUAAAGGCAACCACUCCCCAGCAUCCUACCAGGGUUUAAACCUUUAAGCCCUUAAUUAAGUGCUUACCAAUUCCCAGCUCCCAACGCUGGGCCAACACUAUAAGUCCUUCACAAAGUGAAUAACCACACCCAAACCUGCUGGAUGUGCUUGCCUCUCAGGAGGCCUCUCAGGACUUACUUAGCCACUCCUAUCGCCUUGGCCUGGGAAGCUCCUGACAAUCUCACAACCAACACCACUUGUCUUGAUUGGACCCUUGGCCACUGGGGUCCUUCUCACGAAUGCUGAUAAUCUAACUUGUACGGUCCCUGAAGGUAUGAACGGCACUUCCCUAUGUGGGAGAAAUACAACCUUAAAAAAGAAUACAACCCUAUGCUCAACCCCUGGGGUAUUCUAUCUGUGCUGCAAUUCGGCCUACUGAUGCUUGAAGGCCAACUGGACUCAGAUGUGCUAUUCCGUCUUCCUAGUUCCAGAGAUAACUGUAUACACUGAAGAUCAGUUCCUAACAGCCUUUAGCCCCAAGUCCCGGGCUAAACGGGCAGUCCUCCUACCCGUCCUGAUAGAAGCAGGAAUUGCAAGGGAAUAGGAACUGGAAUAGGAGGCAUAGGUUCAUCCGUAAGGCUAUACCACAAACUAUCGAGAACUAAAUGAAGACAUGGAACGGGUAGCAGACUCCCUGGUAACCUUACAAAGCCAAAUAAACUCCCUGGCAGCAGUGUCCCUCCAAAAUAGGUGAGCCCUCGACCUCCUCAUUUCAGAAAAAGGAGGGACUUGUAUCUUUCUGGGGGAGGAAUGUUGCUAUUUUAUAAACCAGUCAGGAAUAGUCACGACUAAGAUUAAGGAACUCAAGGAAAGAAUUCAACGUAGACAACAGGAAAAUAUCAGUCAGUGGAGAGGAUGGGAUCUCACAGACUGGGCAUCCUGGCUCCCUGCCGUGGCAGGGCCCCUACUUUCCAUAAUUUUACUUGUGACCAUCAGCUCCUGUAUACUAAGUACCUUGGUAAUUUUAUUGAAAACACUGUUGCCAAACUGCAGCACGUAUCUUAGCCCUCCAGGGUACCAACCCCUAGAGCUAAAAGGUGAUGCUUAAUGAAAGAUUUUUAAAAAGGAAUCAAAGGUGGAGGGAGGGGGGCGCCUGGGUGGCUCCAUUGGUUAAGCACCCGACUUUGGCUUAGGUCAUGAUCUCGCGGUUUGUGAGUUCGAGCCCCGUGCCGGGCUCUAUGCUAACAGCUCCGAGCCUGGAGCCUGCUUUGGAUUCUGUGUCUCCUCCUCUCUGCCCCUCCCCUGCUCAUGCUCUGUCUGACUCUGUCUCUUAAUAAAUAAACAUUUAAAAAAAUUUUUUUUAAGGCAUCAAAGGGGGGAAUGUUGGGAAAAUAAGUAAAGUUCUGCACCAUAAGAUGGCCGACGGGACUAAAACAAGCUCUAGUUCCUAGCUUAGAAACUUCUCUUCUGGGUACUUCUGCCCUGUUUGCCACGCAUGCGAAAGCCGUGCCACCAGUGCAGAAGAUGACACUAUAAAUUACCCUUCCCAUCUGCAUUCAGGGCUCAGACCUUUGGAGAAACGGUCUCUCUCAGUCCGCCGGUGUUAAAUAAAUCUCCAAUCCGCCAAGAUCUCCAAGUGCUGCUUGGUUUUUCCACCAGCAUUCCACCUGGUUCUGUAACAACAAUACCUGUCCUCACUAUCGACUAGCACCACCUUUGCCUUUCCAAGCGCCUCUAGUAUCAAAACUCAAGCUCCAGGAAACCUUCCGUGGUUCCCUGCAGUCUGUGUUAAGACCACUCCAGUGUGCUGCAGUUGCUUCUCUGUACUUAGCAUGCUGCACUUAACGUAGUACUGGAUGCAGUAGGUGCUCAAUAAAUGACCGGGCAACCUCAAGUCAUUUUUUACUCGUUCAUUCAACACUUAAAUGCAUAUCUUUGAAGAGACUUCUCUACUCUUUUCCAGGCACUGUGCUAAGAGCUAAGUAUGUGUGAAGAGGUGGUUUUAAUGUCCCUGUAUUAAAGGUAAGGAAACUGAGGCAGAGAGGCCCACAACUAUGGGAAGCCUAACUAGAGGCAAGGGCUCAUACAUAACAACGAGAGCUUCAGCUGACUCUGCAAAACACCUGGCUCUGGGCUGAAAGGAAUUACCCAAGAACCUGGGUUGGCUUUUCCUAAACUGCAGAGAGGCUGGUAGGUCACUGGCCUGACUCCUGCAUUCACUAAAUAUUUAUUAUCUACAGCAUGCAUUGCUGCUAGCACCGAAAAUGCAAAGAUAAACGUCACAAAAUCUCUGCUCUCAAAGGAUCUUCAGUCUGGUGGGAACAGGCAUGUUUAAUGACAAUAUAGCAAGAUAAACGUUUUAAUGGAGACUUGUCCAAUGGAGGUUGUAGUAAGGCGCACAGAAGAUUAAGUCCUGUUGCAGUGGGGUUAGAGCUGUGGAGAUGGGGGCUGCCUAGUGGAGAUGGUACUUGUACUUUAUUUAGAGAAUGAAUCAAAGUUCUUUUUUAUAAUUUUUUAAUUUUUAUUUUUUAUAGAUUUUUUUUAACAUUUUACUUAUUUUUGAGAGACAGAGGGAGACAGCACGCGAGCAGGGGAGGGGCAGAUAGAGAGGGAGACACAGAAUCCGAAGCAGGCUCCAGGCUCUGAGCUGUCAGCACAGAGCCCCACGCGGGGCUCAAACCCAUGGAUCAUGAGAUCAUGACCUGAGCCGAAGUCGGAUGCUUAACCGCCUGAGCCAUCCAGAUAUCCCAUGAAUAAAAGUUCUUUAGGCAAAAAGACUAGAAGAGAAAGAGAGCAGACCCCGAUGAAGGGAACUGUGUGCAAAAGUUUGUUAGGGACCUCCAGAGAUUUAUGUAUAGCUUGAGCAACACAGUUCAGAUAGAAGAUUCUCAGGGAGUGACAGCACAAAGAAAGGUGAACUUCUAUACUUUGCAAAGGAUCUCUUGAGAGAGUUCCCAUAUUAUUGAGAUAAUGUAAAUGGAUGGGCAUGGAACACUGUAAAGCUAGGAAAUACAAGAUAGUGUGAAUAUUAUCUCCAUGACUGCUGUGUGCUUAGAAUGUGACGGUAAUGCAGUCAAAAGCCAAAGUCCUCCCCCAAAGACUUGCCCCUGUUUCAGUCCUCAAAUACACCUUUUUUUUUUAAAGAUUUUAUUUUUAAGUACUCUCUAUACCCAACAUGGGGCUCAAACUUACAACCCUGAGAUCAAGAGUCGCAUGCUCCACCAAUCAAGCCAGUCACGUGUCCCCUCAUACACCUUCUAACCCAGUGGCUAACUUGCAGGUAGUGCUUGUCAGUUGGCCAACUUGGGAGCCAUCAUGACUCAAGGAUCAUAGCGUGAGGUCAGUACAGAGCCCCCAACCAGAAAAGUACCAUGAGGUUUUGUUAGCUUUUUUUUUUUUAACUUUUUAUUUUGAAAUACUUACAGACAUCAUGAGAAGUUGCAAAAAAAGUACAAAGAGACCUGUGCCCCUUCUUCCGCUUUCCCCCAGUGGUACUAUAUAAUUAUAGUACAAUAUCGAAAUCAGGAAACUGAUAUCGGUGCUACGCACAAAAGUUUUUGAAGGCAUCACGAGCUUAUCACAAAACUGAGUGAAGGCUGCUCAGACCCUCCAUUAUAAAAAAAAUCCUGGGGUGCCUGGGUGUCUCAGUCGGUUGAGCAUCCGACUUUCGGCUCAGGUCAUGAUCUCACAGUCCAUGAGUUCCAGCCCCAUGUCGGUCCCUGUGCUGACAGCUCAGAGCCUGAAGCCUGCUUCAGAUUCCGUGUCUUCCUCUCUGCCCCUCCCCAAUAACGCCUUUGUCCCUCUCUCUCUCUCUCUCUUAAAAGUAAAUAAACAUUAAAAUAAAAAUUUUAAAAAAUCCUUAUUGGCCAUGUUAUUACAAAAGUUCUUGCUCAUAGUUAAAAAAAAUUUACAAAUGGACAAACGACAAUUUAUAGGAAACAUCAAUACAACGUUUUUCACUAUAAAAAGAUGCUGAUGCAUAAUUUUUAAAAUAUGCAAAUUAAAUUUGGCGAUGAGUUACCAUGUUUGCCUCUCAGAUCAAAAAGUCUUGGGGCUGGGCGCCUGGGUGGCUCAGUCCUCUGUGAAGUGUCUGACUCUUGAUUUCUACUCAGGUUAUGAUCCCAAGGUGGUGGGACCAUCCCACCUUGUUCUCUGUGAGUGUGGAGCCUGCUUGAGAUUCUCUCUCCCUCCACCCUUCCCCCUCUGGCCCUCGCUCUCAAAAAAAAAAAAAAAAAAAAAAAAAAACUUUACAGAAAGUCUGAUAAUAUGCUGUGUUGAUCUGUGAUUGGGUAGCAGGCACUGGAAAACGUUGAAGCUGGAAGUAAAUCAGUACAGUCUUGUUGGAGGGCAAUUUGAAAAGAUCCAGCAUUCUCCUUCUGGGAACUUAUUAUAAUAUGUAGAUGUGUGCACAAUGACAUAUUUUCAGGGAUAUUCAUUACGGUG